rnacentral:sRNA from 1 species
AACCGUUGAAGCGUUGCACCUCGCGAACAACCUUUUAUCCCGAUUCCUACCAGCAGUAAAAGUCGAUAUAUCUACUUUCCUACCCCUAACCAUCAUUUUCCCGUUCCUCCCGCACCCUUUCCUCCCACAAUGUCAGACACCUUCCAGGAACUCGCCGAUAUCCCUAAGGAUUUCGUCAAAGAUGGCAUGCUCUUCAUGAACCGAUGUACAAAGCCCGACAAGCGUGAAUUCCUCAAGAUCAGCCAGGCAGUUGGCUUCGGUUUCUUGAUCAUGGGAGCUAUAGGUUACUUCAUCAAACUGAUACACAUCCCAGUCAACAAUAUUCUCGUCGGAGGUGCAUGAUGUGAGCAAUUGAGCGAACGAAAUCUAAGAGGGCCCCAGAUAAUCAAAUAUUCUGGGAUUGAUGCAAGUGGGGGGAAAUGAGACAAAGAUAUAAAUCCAUUGCGUGCGAAUAUCCGAUCAACUCCGUUUCUGUCCCGGUGAAUUCUAUUUAUUCUGGAGAGCCGUGUCGUCAAACUUCUCAUUCAUUUUCUCCUUCAACGGCUGGUUGAUAGGAGGUGUCAUUAAUGGUGCGAGACCGGACAGAGCAUUUUUUGUGAGCGAAAAAAGACUAUUUUUGUUUUUAUAUUUAAACAAAACACAAUGGGAGGCAAUGGUGGAGGAUGCUGGAUUUUAAUAGAUCCCUCCUUGCGUUCCCUAGUUUUCUUGUUGAUAUUUCUUCGCACUCUUUUUUUCUUUUGCUUUUGUCGAGUCCCCUUUACGUUUUGCAUAUGUACAAUAUUCAGUUGUUAUUUACGUUGGGCUUCGUUUCCUACGUUGUUGUUUUGUUCGUUUGUUAAUUCGUUGCAAAUAAUUCCUUUUUCCUAUUUUUUUACAUGAUUGAGGGGUUAAUUAAGCCCAUAUAUCGUUGAGUUCAGAAGAUGGUAUUAACGUAUUGGGAAUAGUUUGCUUCACUCUAAUGACAUAUAUCGUAUGCAUGGAAUAGGAGGUGGCAAUGUGCUAUUCGUUCAAGAAAAUAUCGCAUGUCAAAACAUAAGGCGAUCAAUACAUAGCCACGGCCGAACAAAGAAGGAGAUAUCUUGGAAAUAUGCCACCCAUAUUCAAUGAAAAUGGAGGAUAGAAUAGUGAAAUCGUCAUAGGCAUCAUGUCGAAAAAAGCAUACCUACCAUGCCAAACCGAUCGUCUGGUGGGGGGUAUGCAAAAUCUAUAUCGAGAAGGUUGGCAGAAGCACAUGUUCGUCACGACAUAAAUGUUUGCAAAAGUAUAAACCUAAUACAGGAACAUAGAUUAUAAAAAGAUAAAUGAGGCAUUGACCGACGAAACUAUCCGGCCCUACGUAAAAGGCCUUCGCAGCUCAUGUGUCAUUCGAUGGGCCAUCGGGCAAGCCAGCCACGCUGGAAUCGGCGAGCAUGCCUACCACGGGUUCAUGUCAAAAGGAUCGUCAUCAUCUAGUGCGAUAAAUGAUGCGAUUCCUCCAUUCCUUAUGAUAUGGCCUGUGAGUCGUCUGCCCUCUUCCGCAGAGCGGUUGCUGCUAGGCUGCAAAGGUUCCAGCUUGCUGUUGUAGCUUUGUCCGACUGGGCAUUCGCCUUCGUCGACGUCAGCACCGUCAUUCCAGACAUGCACACUGCAGGUGCCGGUGGACAUGCCCCAGCCGUUCCACGAGGUUGCUGAAUUAAUUGAUAACAUACAUGAUUAGCUAGGCUCUUCUCCUGCAGAUGGAGCACUCGCAACCUCCAAAGGACUCCAGACCUGCUAAUAAUCUUCGAGUUUUGAAUAUGAACGGGGGAAAAAAAAGUAACCUACCUGCUAUAAUGGGGGCAUUUGGAUGCCAACUUGCGUCUCUUACGCACGUUCCCCAUUCGAUCUCGCUCCUCCCCAUCCGAUACGCAGGAUGGUACAUGUCAGAAUCGUGCUGCCGAGAAUGGAACGAAGCCUCCCCAACAUCGAUAAUACGAGCAACUGUGGCGUCGAGAUUGUAAAUAAAAACUCGGCCGUCUGAACUUCCUGAAUACACAUAUCUGGAGUUGGCACUUAUAUCGGGAGAGAAAUGACAGCGUAUAAGUGUUUUCAAUACACGAUGUCCACGGAAGGUGACAACAGAACAAUCGUAUGGAUGGGGAGUGUAAUCUGCAUCCGAGAUAGACAUAUAUCUGUAAUCAAAGCCCGUGG